rnacentral:rRNA from 1 species
UACGUAGGUGACAAGCGUUGUCCGGAUUUACUGGGCGUAAAGAGCGCGCAGGCGGUCGAUCAAGUCGAGUGUGAAAGCCCCCGGCUCAACUGGGGAGGGUCAUUCGAUACUGAUCGACUCGAAGGCAGGAGAGGGUAGUGGAAUUCCCGGUGUAGUGGUGAAAUGCGUAGAUAUCGGGAGGAACACCAGUGGCGAAGGCGACUACCUGGCCUGUUCUUGACGCUGAGGCGCGAAAGCUAGGGGAGCAAAGCGGGG